AGGAUGCCGUUAGCAGAAAAAUCAGUCUAGACGCUGUUGUGGAUUUUGCAUUGGCACAAGGAUCACAGUGGAUAUUUAUUACCCCUCAUGACAUCAGUAUGGUGAAGCAGGACGAGAGGGUAAAGAAGCAGCAAAUGGCGGCUCCUCGUGCCUGAUUCGUUUUGCAUUUUAUUUUGUGGGAGAUGGUUAUUUUUUGGGGAUUUCAGGUGGGCGUGAAGAAGAGUUCGCUAGUGAAAGAGGUCUUGUUUUACUAGUCUUUGGCUCAACAUGUCCUAAAUGAUUUCACAGUUAAAUCAUUAGAAAUUCUAGUGAUAUAUAAAACUAGAAGGUGAGUUUAUAAAUUUAAUGUGUUCUAUGUCUAGUCUUGUUUCCAAUUUUCUUAUUGAGGUACCAUUGGUGCUUCUAAAUACCGUAGAACAAAGCCAAGCUUACACUGUCCUAUGUAUAUAAAGUCUUUUAGCAUGUUUCAACAUUUGCUAUAUGAAAGUAUCAUGCAACCUAAAUCA